GGGGAUUUAGCUUAAUUAAAGUGUUUGAUUUGCGUUCAAUUGAUGUAGGAGUAGUCCUGCAAUCCUUA
rnacentral:tRNA from 1 species